GAGCCAGGCUCGCUCUGCUUACUGCGCCCUGAGAGCCAGGCUCGCUCUGCCUACUGCGCCCUGAGAGCCAGGCUCGCUCUGCCUACUGUGCCCUGAGAGCCAGGCUCGCUCUGCCUACUGCGCCCUGAGAGCCAGGCUCGCUCUGCCUACUGUGCCCUGAGAGCCAGACCACUUACUGGUUGACACUGCUGUUCCUGUGUGUGUGUGUGUGUGUGUGUGUGUGUAUGUCCCAGUUCUUCACUGAAUAUGGACCAGACUACUCGCUGGAGGUCAGUCCGAGUUGUCGACCGGACCGCAACGAGACCAAGCACCUGCAACAGGUCAUCUCCACCAUCAAAGGGAAUCUGAAGAAUGUGGUCUAGGAUUUCCAUACAGCCUGGGACUCACCCUUCAUCUCCAAACCAGGUCCACCCACUCUCCUCUCCUCCUCUCCUCCCCUUCUCCUCUCUAUUCUUCUCCUCUUCUCAGUUUCCAUCCAGUGUAAUUUGCUCCAGUACGGUCUCCUUAAUGAGGACAGUAUGUGGACGCAUGCCCGCCCUCUCUCCCUCAGCCUCCUCUUUCUCCUUCCCUCACCCCUCCACCUCCUCGAGGGUGGAGAAAGAGGGAGACAGAGAUGGGAUUAGAGAACGGAGAGAAGAGAGAGAAAAUGGAGAGGAAGAGGAAAAAAGAAUGGAGUGGAAAAGAGCUUUGUGGGAAGACAUGAUCGUUUUUUUCCGGAGAAAUGUCCUUUUGACCUGCUGUUUCAUUUUGGUUUCUGUUUCUUUUCUCGUUUUGACUGUUUUUCUUAGUCUUUUGUCUGUUUUUAUUCGGGGUGGGGUUGCCAUGACGUCAGACUGUGUACUGAAACAUAAGUGUGUGAGAUACAUCUAUAACAGGUGGAGUGAGUGAGCGAGUGAAUGAAUGAAUGAAUGAAUGAGUGAGUGAACCUCCAUGACAACCAGUCAGUCCCUUCCUGAUGAGUUUAGUGUUAGGACCCUAUUUAACAAUGAAACAUGAUUCCUAUUCCAUAGACCUGGCUUUAACGCCACUGUUUCACAUUGAGAUGCAGCCAUUUUUGUGUUUCCCAGGUCCUCAAAAGCCUUCUUUGUUCAUCUCCUUAUGCAGUCAUAAAGGUAGGGAAUGAGGUAAGGGGACUAUUGAAGACUAUUGGAAUGGGGCCCUUAUUCUAUGACAACUUCCUAUCAAGACUGCAUGUUUUAUAUCCAGCAGGAACUUACAGUAUGUGAUGAACAGUGUAACUAAUUUGUGUUAUUGUGCUUUUGGUUUCACAAAAGUAUGUUUUUUUUGUAUGGUUCACGUUUGCCUAUAUGCUAGUGUAAAUAUCACCUUUGUUUGAAUACAAUAUCACAGACGGC